rnacentral:rRNA from 1 species
CCUACGGGAGGCAGCAGCAGGGAAUAUUGUGCAAUGAACGAAAGUUUGACACAGCGACACCGCGUGUGGGAUGACGGAUCUAGGUUUGUAAACCACUUUCAGGAGGGAAGAAAAUGACGGUACCUCCACAAGAAGCCCCGGCUAACUUCGUGCCAGCAGCCGCGGUAAUACGAAGGGGGCUAGCGUUGUUCGGAUUUACUGGGCGUAAAGGGCGUGUAGGCGGACGAUCAAGCUAGGGGUGAAAGCCCAGGGCCCAACCCUGGAACUGCCCUUAGAACUGGUUGUCUAGAAUCCGUAAGGGGAGUGUGGAAUUCCUAGUGUAGAGGUGAAAUUCGUAGAUAUUAGGAAGAACACCAGUGGCGAAGGCGGCACUCUGGUACGGUAUUGACGCUGAGGCGCGAAAGCGUGGGGAGCAAACAGGAUUAGAUACCCUGGUAGUCCACGCCGUAAACGAUGUCUGCUAGCCGUUUGGGCACUUAGUGUCUGGGUGGCGCCGCUAACGCAUUAAGCAGACCGCCUGGGGAGUACGGUCGCAAGAUUAAAACUCAAAGGAAUUGACGG